UGGCAAUGAUUACAACUUAUCCGCGCUUCUGAGAGAAAUCUAUGAAGCAAAAACAAAAAAAGAUGGUUGAAUUUCUUAAUAUGAGCCA